rfam:Candidatus Taylorbacteria bacterium RIFCSPHIGHO2_02_FTLL_45_35 rifcsphigho2_02_scaffold_41387, whole genome shotgun sequence.
CCUCUCGUCGUUCAAUGGAUAGGACAUUCCCCUGCGAAGGGAAAAAUGUCGGUUCAAUUCCGGCCGAGAGGA